GCGACCAUGCGGGACACACCGAGCCUGCGCUGAACCGGACCACGAUCGGGCAGAGACUUUGGGACCUGGACUGCAAAUUACUGCUGCUUAACACAACUUUUAUAAAACUUGCUUAGACGCACUCCCUAGUUCAGUGAGAAAGGGCCCCAGAGCUGGUGCAGACUGGAAAGAUAAGGGAGUUACAAGCAGUCUGCAUUCCUAUGCUUCACACUCCGGGAGGGAGGAUGUCAAGGCUUUGAAGUGAGGCCUGCUUGGGCGCCAGGACCCUGGGAAACAAAGCCUCCCCUCACUGCUGAAACAGUGUUAAUUAGGGGGGGGUCUGGAUUAUAUCCUCCUCGUCAGGACCUUGGAAGAUAACACCUAUUGUCACUGCUGGGGCAGUGCUAAUUGCUGGAACAACACCUGUUUGUCAGGGCCCUGAGAAAGAAGGGCAGAACCCGAGGAAUCAACACAUUUGUCAGCAGAAACCGCAACAGUAAAGAUAAGGGAGAAAAGCAGCCUGCCUAGGAACAACGAGGAGACCCAAUAGGGAGCAGGAGACCCCAGACCCAAAAAUUACUAUUGGUCUGAACUACCGCGUGAGGGGUGGGAAACUUAAUUUGAAAAAGCUAUAAUUGCCCAGGGAUUUCUUUGUUCAGGGUCCCUCUUUGGAGGCACCCAACUCGAGCUGUAACUACUGCACACGUGUCAUUCCAAACUUUUCAGCGGGAACCUAGGGUCGGACCCUGCUCGAGUUGUAAUUACUGCACGCGCAUCGCUAAAAUUUACACCCAGGGUGAAGAGGACCAACGGGACGCCGCUGGAUUCACGGGUGGUCCCUUCCUACAGGAAACUCCAAUACUGUAUGCAACCGGACAAGAGUUGGGAAUCAUCAUUCAUAGACUGAAGAAAUUUUUUGGUGAUAUUCCUUCACUGAGACAUGAACUCUUUUUCUUGUCCUCCUCAGUUAGGGAAACUGUGGGCAUUCCAGUGAGUCUGCAGCCUCCUGAGGUCCUCAACGGGGCAAGUUCAGUGCCAGUGGUGGGGGUCCCUGCCUCUUCAAUCUUUGGUCUAUCAUAUGUUUAUACAUACUUAUAGAAGAAGUAUGUCUGAGGAAAUAACCAAGGAGUACAUGUAUCAUUGAAGCUGCAAGUUGCAACACUAGUAUCAUUCCUGGGAUAGUACUUUAUUCUUCCUCCUUGUGGUUCCUUCAUCUGGAAAUCUGCUUGCCACCUCUGGGAGAAGUAAGGUCUAGAUGCCAGCAACUGGAGAAGCACGGGUGAGUGAAUUUGGACCAGCAACCAGGAUCAGACCUCGGGCAAUGGUGGCUGCCAUGUCUGUGGUGCCAGCAACUGGAGUGAGUGAAGUCCUUUAGCGUCAGCCACUGGUGCAGGACUUGGGGUCACAGGGCCCAUCUGUCCUGGGCCUGCAGACCAGGUACUGUGGGCCUGGGUGAGUGAAGUCAGUGAGUGACUCAGCAUCAGUGGCUGGAGCAGGGACCACAGGUCAUGGUGCCCAUAUCCCUGCACAGCAGCUCCAGGGAGUGGGGGAAUGGGGAUAGUGCAUUUGUAUUUUUCCCUAACUGUGUGUGUGUGUGUGUGUGUGUGUGUGUGUGUGUAAUUCACUAGCAAAAGUCAAGCUGGACUGGCCAAUGAGUAGCAGGCCCAUAUAGCAGGCAGGGGGCCCAGGAUCCAAGCAAGGAUAUUAGAUGGGCACAGGGUUCAUGCUGAUAUUUGAGGGAUCUGCAAAUGUGCAUAUGCUUGUGAACUAGGGAAUUAGGGAGUGUGCAUUUUCACUAGUGAACUUCAGUCUCUACUAGCUCGAAAGGAGGACGGGGACUUGGCUACCUGUGUUUAUGUUUUAUGUCAGUUCUAGUAAUGUACGUGGAUGUCGCUGAAGGCAGCACGUUGUCUGCAGCAGUCUGUGUAGCCGGCCCUGUCAGUGUCCUCUGUGUGUGUUUGUGUGCGUCUCUGGGAUAUACACUCAGCCUCACUACUGGUUGAACCUGCCGACAGGAGAGCAGCAGUCGCGUCCAUCAAUGGAGAGCCCUCCAGGUCCCCAGUUGCACCACACUGGGCUCCGCAGCUGGGGGGGAGGGAUCCCCCGAUCCCAAAGCCUGCCAGAGGUGGUGGCCCUUUUAACAUUCCUCAACACUCUGUUUUGGCUUUCUCUCUCCUUCACCUGGCUAUGGAGAUACUCUUCCUUAUGGCUUCCCUAGCUCUAGUCUCCACUUUCAGGUCCCAAUAUGUGCCAAACUCUGUUGCUAGUCUUAACCUGUUCCAGUCUCCUGCUGCCUAUCCUUUGGCUUAAACAGAGGAGCACAAUCCAGUUAGCCCAUUAUCAAACAACUCUAAUAGCUCUCCAGCUAUUUUAUCAAACUAGCAUAAAAGCAAGAAAUGAUAAAGUAUACAUAGAGACUAGGACUGGACCUCACCACUGGUUUCAGUUUCAUCUUCAUUAACACUUUCUGUAAUCAAGUUUAGCUUUUAAAAAAUAUUUUAAAGUUAACAGCUUUAUGUUUAUAUUAAAAAAUCCUCAGAAAUUUAUAGUUACAGAAUCCACGGAUAUUCUAUUUUACAUUCACUCUCCAAUAAAGAUUCUGCUAUAUGACCACUUGUUUCUUUUUCAGCAACAUUUUAUCCUUGUUUCCUUUUUCAUGGAGAGACUUGAAAAAAGGUACUUCAUAUUGAGAACUCUGUGGAUCAGCAACUGUAGUUUCUUAUUCUUUCCAGUCUAUUUGUGUUUUUUGCUUCCUGCAUUUAGCUAAAAUAUAUGUUAUUAAAAUAGUAGAGUAAAAUAUUUCUAAGUAGGCAUUUUAAGAGUUUUGGCAGCACAAACAAUUACAGAUAUUGGGAGUAAAAUUGAUGACUGUAGAUGGUACUGAGAGAGGUAGUUAAGCCCUGAACAUAUCUAUAUGCAGAAGAAAAAGGAGAAAGGUAGGAAAUCAAAUAAUUUAAACAGCGCUUGGACAUAAAUCCCAACCUUUUAAAUAUCUCCAGAAAUAAAUGUAUUCCAGCCAAAAGAGAGAAGAAAACCUGUACUUAUAACAAACAUGUAGUACUUCCAAUGAAAAAAAGUUAAUAAUUGCACUAACUCUGGUAUUUAAAAGAUUAUGUCAGCUACUGGGAAAAAAAAAUGAAAACAAGGCAAAUCCUCCAUAUUUUGUAAGACAAGUUACAAAUUAAGAACCAUACAGGUAAUGUUUCAUUAUAAAAAUAGGAAACCGACAUAAGGACUUUUUAAUUAUUUUCCCUUUGCCUCUUUAAAAUUACCAUGUGUAACAUUCAGAUGUUCAAGUUACACAGCCAAGAAUUAUUGUUUUCAGAAAACUCAGCUAACUCAGCUUUAAAUGUAAACUGAACAGAGAAAAGUGUCAUCACAAUCAUGACAGUCACGUACGGAACAGAUUGUGUUGCACAGGCUCGGAGCAAGUAAAAUCCAACUAGUAACUGAUUUAAAUAAAUAAAUAAAUAUAUUGAAUUGGAAAAGCUUUAACCACAGUUUACCUUCAGUUUUCUUAAGGCUCUAGGAAACUCCAUCGUAUGUUUAAUGAUUCAUACUUUUUCAGAAUUACAGUACUCUGCACUUUAAGCUUAUCAGAUGGGUUCCUGCCAUCUUCCACACUGAAUAGGGUUUCCCUUUCUCUUUCUUUUUUUGUCCCUCUAGAAAGCUCUUCAGGAAGAGGUGGAACAUUAAAAGCAGAUGUGGGAGUCUUCUUAUCUAAGGAAAAACCUGAGACUAAAGAUUCAGAUAUCCACAUUAGAAGCUAUGCUGACAUUCGUCAAAUAAAAAACAGUAUAUGAAAGCAUAAAAACACACUCUUAUAUUUAUUUCUUCUCCUUUUCCUAUUUAUUUUGUUUGUUUCUGUAUUUAUAGGACAAAAUAAUAAAUCUAGAGGCCUUCUUAUUCUACUAAAGCCAUGUAUAGAACAUAGGACUUGAACUGAUACUGAGAAUAAAAUCUAAACAUUGACAUAUUGUAAUACUUAACUUCAAAUUGCCUAAAGUUUCUUCAGACCACAUUAGCAAAUUAAUUCUAUAUAAAUUAAAGAAAGUCAGAUGCAUACAAAUGCACCCUUUGAAUGGAUUAAGAUGUAGGUAACCCAAAAGGAAAUAUCAUAAAAGAAGGACUCCUGGAAUACAACAGGUGCUCUUCACAUUCUGCAUGAUAGGUUCAUAGUUAGAGUAAUUUAGACCAUACAAAACAGUGGGUUGCCUGUAAACAUGGACAAGUGCAUAACCACAGCUCUUACUUUUUAGGAAUUUUCCCUGGCCUCACAGGAAAAUAAAGAGGGGACUGUACUUAGUCAUUACUCCAAUGAGGAGACCAAGGAAGAAAGAAUGAUUACUUCCUCUAAGGCUUUCAGAAGAAAGGAGCUGAUGUGGCUCUUUGUCCUAUCUUCUCAGCAAGUUUCUUUUUUUUAUGUUAAGUAGGCAUUGACUAAAAUAAAAGACUAUUUACUAUUCCCAGCUCCAGGCUUUUCGAGUCUUAGUUUUAUACACUGAUUCAGGCUCUUGCUUCUUUUGCCUCUUGGACCAAAAUUCUUGCCUUCAAGGACAACAUACUCAUGAAGACUAUUCUAUAGUCUCUCGUUUUUCCAAGAAAAUGUUGACAUCUAUAUUUACAAGAAAACAUCACAUAACCCCAUUCAAGAAAGCUACAUAUGUUUUCUUUGAAAAAAUACAAUAUCUUCCAUAUAUCUAGUUAAGACAAUUAACUUUAUGUAAUAUUUGCAGCUGUAGCAAUAAAUUUAUCCAUGAAAAAUGUGUUUCUGGAUUUUAAUCAGCUUCUGGAGCCUUUUUAUUCACUUCUUGAUUGCUGAGUGAGACAGAGUAGAAGAAAUAUUGAGGUAGAGACACAUUCUGACAUUGACCCUAUUGGAAUGCAAGCCCUGCAAGAAAAUUAAGUUCAAUAAACUCAUUUAGUAAUACUCUUUUAAUAGACAUCAAAGUUACAAUCCAAAAGGAAAUAAUGUCUCACUUUCAUUUACACCUAAAUAUUUUGAUAACAUUUUAAUAAAUACAUUAACCUUAAAUCAGACUAUUUCCAAAUUUCUAAAGACACCUUCUAGAUGUCUUCAUUAUUUUAGAGGCUAAAUAUUAGAAAGUAUAUUUCAUAGGUAGCUUUUUUUACUUUUGUCUAUUAGACUUCUCAGGCAACAGAAGAACAACCCAGUUUAAUAUUAGGCCUAUUCAUUUAGAGUUAAUCUGUUUUCACCUCAAUCUUUUCUUCCCUUAAGACUUAUUCUUUUCUUCCCUCUCUCUCUUCAUUGUUCAUCAGUACUGUACUGGGAAAGCCGUACAAAUAUUUAGAAAAUACUUUAUAGCCCAUUUCCUAAUAUUUCCUAGAUAUUUCCUAAUGAGCUUAUUUUCUACUACAUAUUCCUAGUAUCAGGAAAAAAGGGGAUCAUGUAGAUGGUCUACAAUUAUAAUUUGAUUAAAACAGGAAGCUGCAUGUACUCUCUCUGCUUGCCCAUUACCUGUCUAGGGCUUUAUCUCUUAAAUUUUUACAGAAGUAAAAUUUUGUAUGAGUUGUAUAUGAGAAAUAGAGAUGACUGUUGAGAUUCAUUUGGCCUUAUUUAUGUAUUUAAACAUUAAGCAUCUAAGUUGAUGUCAGCUUCAGAGCGCAAUUCAUCUCCUCCUUAAUAUGUAUCUGAGACUGGCAAGACAAAUCAUAUUCUGGAAGCUCCUGUUCCUCUCCACUAGUUUAUAAAGCAUGUUUAGCCUGACUAACUCAGGUUUAGACAUCUUUCAUUAGAUGUCAGUAAGACAGAUGAGAUGAUUCCCAAGCCUUCUGCUAAAAUGCAUUGUACGUAUUAGCUACGAGGUGCUAGGAGAGUAGCCUCUUAUGCACAUACGGAACCAAAUUCCUUGCUAGAGUGCUCUGUCCAGGCUUGCAGGCUCUAGGUUUAGUUCUCAGACCAAGACCAUAUAUAGGAAGACACACAGAAAUAACUUCUACAAGCACAAAAGGAUCUCUUUGGGCAAACAUUCUGUGAUAUAAAUGCAUGGCAAAUUUACCAAAAAUUCUUUGACCUGGACAGCAUUCAAAAUAUCAUAAGAUGGAGUACACUCAUAAAGUUUUUAGAAUCUGCUAAUUUUAUCCCAUUCUAUAGAACUGCCUUAAAGAACUUUCACUUAGUGUAAUAAAUAUAUUCAAUUUAAUUUAAAGCAAUUUCUGUAACUAUCUCUUACUUGCAAAUAUUAAAGACUAAACCACUUUACUGGUUAAAUGUAAUAAUGAACUGAAUGUCAGUAAUGAAGUGGCAUAUGGGUGGAGGAGUAAAAAUGAGAGAAUGACAGGGUAUAUCAGGGAUGGAAAAAGAUACGAGAUAUAUUCAUGACUGCUUUUUGUAUUCUCAGCUAAAGCCCUGCAUUUUCCAUUUUCUCAAGAUAAAAUUUAUCCACACAAGCAAUUUAUACCACCAAGUGAAUCUCCUUUAAGUUUAGCUGGAAUUCUGUUAAAUAUUUGAGGUGACAUGCAUUCUAUUCAUUAUCCUGCUCAGUAAGCAUGUCAUCCAAGAAAAUUUUAAAACACCAGUCUUACUCUGGAUUUACACUGAUGUAACCAAGAGAUUUCUGGCCCACAGACUUUCAGUAUGCUUCAGUCAGCCACUUCACAUUGCUUUUGUACGUUCUUCUAGACAUAUAAGCUCUGUGUUUUCUAAAGAGAUAUUUAAUACAUUCAGAGGUUAUAUAGAUCCAUUAAUUAAUAAUGCAUAUUCAGAAUAAUGACCCAUGUGUUUGCCUUUCAGUGAUUUGUGAAUCCUAUUUUUGAUUUGUUAAUGGGUUCAUUAAUGGGCUCGUUAAUGGAUAAGCAAAUUACCAGAAGGCUGCAUAUUAUUUUUUUAAUUUAUGGAUUCACUUUUGAUAGCAAUAAUCAAAAAAAAAAAGCAAAGCUCUAAUUUCAGUUUGAAAGAAUUUGGAGGAGAAGCUGAAAAUAUAGAAAUGAUGUGGAAAAAUGGAAAUUAUCUUCUUGCAACAGAAUAAUAAAACAAGCAGGAGCUAUAAGUUAGCAGGGGUUUCAAAAGAUAGUCAUUUUCUGUGGAAGAGGGAAGGUGUAAAUUAAUUAUAAGAGUAGAAGUAAUGGAAAAUCUGAAUAUCUGUCUACAGAAAGUGUUGCUGUAUAAAGAACAUACUGGGUCAGCGCAGCAUAAAGAACAUAUUGGGUCAGUGCAGCACUGAGAAGGCUGCUUCACUAAUAUUACAAAAAUUGAAGUGUAAUCUGUAACUCUUCAGAAGAUUAAAAGCAGCACAAUUUGAAAACUGUUCUAUAAAUGUUACUUUAGUAGUAAGGCUGAAGAAACUUUUAAAUCUAGAUUACAGUCUUUUCUCACAAGUUAGCAUGCAUUUAUGGAUGUUAAAAUGUCAAUAAAAGAUACAGAAAUAUGCUCCAGCAGUGUAACUUCCUUUAUCCUACUAGAAUGAGACCAAAAAAGAACAGAAUAUCUCUUUCUUUCACCUGGAUAUUAGAGUACUUCCAGAAAAUGGAGAGUUGUAUUUUUCAUGCUUUUUAGAUAAAAAUUGAAUUGAAUGUAUAUGGACUUUUAUAUUUGCUACGAUCAGUGUCAAUGUGUUAUUUCUGUCUUUCAUAGUUUCUUUUAGCAUUGAAUUUGAUAAACUAGAUUUAACAGAAUAAUAUUAUGAAGUAACACAGAAUUUGAUAAAUUGAUUAGGCUUGUCAUCUUGGUUUUCUUUUCAUAAGCAUACAAAAAAGCAAGCAAGAAAUGUUAAAUGGGAACUUUUCAAAACAACCGAUUUACCAGUUUAUUUCUGAAUGCUGACACUAUUUAAUCAAGUACUGUAUAAUAAUAGCAGUAAUAGCAACAGCAAGCAAUGAUGGAAAAUAAAUAACCCAUAAACUUACACCAGAAGACUUUAUGGACGAUGCAUAGAUGUAAAUAGACAGUGUCAUAAAUGCGCAGUCUCUUCCAUUGUUUUUCUAGAACCAAUAAAAGUUGUCAUAUUGC